rnacentral:ncRNA from 2 species
CGCCGCGGUCGUGACUGGCGAAGGUGGACAACCACCGGGGAGCGGCCACCCCCAGAUCGACCCGCUGUGCGCGCCGCCCGCCUGGGUGCCAGGG